rnacentral:rRNA from 1 species
AUUGAACGCUGGCGGCAGGCCUAACACAUGCAAGUCGAACGAGUGGCGGACGGGUGAGUAAUGUCUGGGAAACUGCCCGAUGGCGGGGGAUACCUACUGGAACCGGUAGCUAAUACCGCAUACCAUCAGAUGUGCCCAGAUGGGAUUAGCUGGUGGGUGGGGUAAAGGCUCACCAAGGCGACGAUCCCUAGCUGGUCUGAGAGGAUGACCGGCCACACUGGGACGGAGACACGGCCCAGACUCCUACGGGAGGCAGCAGUGGGGAAGAUUGGACAAGGGGCGAAAGCCUGAUGAAGCCAUGCCGCGUGGAUGAAGAAGGCCUUAGGGUGGUAAAGUACUUUCAGCGGGGAGGCGGUACCCGCAGAAGAAGCACCGGCUAACUCCGUGCCAGCAGCCGCGGUAAUAC